rnacentral:rRNA from 4 species
UUAAGCGACUAAGCGUACACGGUGGAUGCCCUGGCAGUCAGAGGCGAUGAAGGACGUGCUAAUCUGCGAUAAGCGUCGGUGAGGUGAUAUGAACCGUUAUAACCGGCGAUUUCCGAAUGGGGAAACCCAGUGUGAUUCGUCACACUAUCAUUAACUGAAUCCAUAGGUUAAUGAGGCGAACCGGGGGAACUGAAACAUCUAAGUACCCCGAGGAAAAGAAAUCAACCGAGAUUCCCCCAGUAGCGGCGAGCGAACGGGGAGGAGCCCAGAGCCUGAAUCAGUGUGUGUGUUAGUGGAAGCGUCUGGAAAGGCGCGCGAUACAGGGUGACAGCCCCGUACACAAAAAUGCACAUACUGUGAGCUCGAUGAGUAGGGCGGGACACGUGGUAUCCUGUCUGAAUAUGGGGGGACCAUCCUCCAAGGCUAAAUACUCCUGACUGACCGAUAGUGAACCAGUACCGUGAGGGAAAGGCGAAAAGAACCCCGGCGAGGGGAGUGAAAAAGAACCUGAAACCGUGUACGUACAAGCAGUGGGAGCCUCUUAAUGGGGUGACUGCGUACCUUUUGUAUAAUGGGUCAGCGACUUAUAUUCUGUAGCAAGGUUAACCGAAUAGGGGAGCCGAAGGGAAACCGAGUCUUAACUGGGCGUUAAGUUGCAGGGUAUAGACCCGAAACCCGGUGAUCUAGCCAUGGGCAGGUUGAAGGUUGGGUAACACUAACUGGAGGACCGAACCGACUAAUGUUGAAAAAUUAGCGGAUGACUUGUGGCUGGGGGUGAAAGGCCAAUCAAACCGGGAGAUAGCUGGUUCUCCCCGAAAGCUAUUUAGGUAGCGCCUCGUGAAUUCAUCUCCGGGGGUAGAGCACUGUUUCGGCAAGGGGGUCAUCCCGACUUACCAACCCGAUGCAAACUGCGAAUACCGGAGAAUGUUAUCACGGGAGACACACGGCGGGUGCUAACGUCCGUCGUGAAGAGGGAAACAACCCAGACCGCCAGCUAAGGUCCCAAAGUCAUGGUUAAGUGGGAAACGAUGUGGGAAGGCCCAGACAGCCAGGAUGUUGGCUUAGAAGCAGCCAUCAUUUAAAGAAAGCGUAAUAGCUCACUGGUCGAGUCGGCCUGCGCGGAAGAUGUAACGGGGCUAAACCAUGCACCGAAGCUGCGGCAGCGACACUAUGUGUUGUUGGGUAGGGGAGCGUUCUGUAAGCCUGUGAAGGUGUACUGUGAGGUAUGCUGGAGGUAUCAGAAGUGCGAAUGCUGACAUAAGUAACGAUAAAGCGGGUGAAAAGCCCGCUCGCCGGAAGACCAAGGGUUCCUGUCCAACGUUAAUCGGGGCAGGGUGAGUCGACCCCUAAGGCGAGGCCGAAAGGCGUAGUCGAUGGGAAACAGGUUAAUAUUCCUGUACUUGGUGUUACUGCGAAGGGGGGACGGAGAAGGCUAUGUUGGCCGGGCGACGGUUGUCCCGGUUUAAGCGUGUAGGCUGGUUUUCCAGGCAAAUCCGGAAAAUCAAGGCUGAGGCGUGAUGACGAGGCACUACGGUGCUGAAGCGACAAAUGCCCUGCUUCCAGGAAAAGCCUCUAAGCAUCAGGUAACAUCAAAUCGUACCCCAAACCGACACAGGUGGUCAGGUAGAGAAUACCAAGGCGCUUGAGAGAACUCGGGUGAAGGAACUAGGCAAAAUGGUGCCGUAACUUCGGGAGAAGGCACGCUGAUAUGUAGGUGAAGCGACUUGCUCGUGGAGCUGAAAUCAGUCGAAGAUACCAGCUGGCUGCAACUGUUUAUUAAAAACACAGCACUGUGCAAACACGAAAGUGGACGUAUACGGUGUGACGCCUGCCCGGUGCCGGAAGGUUAAUUGAUGGGGUUAGCGGUAACGCGAAGCUCUUGAUCGAAGCCCCGGUAAACGGCGGCCGUAACUAUAACGGUCCUAAGGUAGCGAAAUUCCUUGUCGGGUAAGUUCCGACCUGCACGAAUGGCGUAAUGAUGGCCAGGCUGUCUCCACCCGAGACUCAGUGAAAUUGAACUCGCUGUGAAGAUGCAGUGUACCCGCGGCAAGACGGAAAGACCCCGUGAACCUUUACUAUAGCUUGACACUGAACAUUGAGCCUUGAUGUGUAGGAUAGGUGGGAGGCUUUGAAGUGUGGACGCCAGUCUGCAUGGAGCCGACCUUGAAAUACCACCCUUUAAUGUUUGAUGUUCUAACGUGGGCCCCUUACCGGGGUUGCGGACAGUGUCUGGUGGGUAGUUUGACUGGGGCGGUCUCCUCCUAAAGAGUAACGGAGGAGCACGAAGGUUGGCUAAUCCUGGUCGGACAUCAGGAGGUUAGUGCAAUGGCAUAAGCCAGCUUGACUGCGAGCGUGACGGCGCGAGCAGGUGCGAAAGCAGGUCAUAGUGAUCCGGUGGUUCUGAAUGGAAGGGCCAUCGCUCAACGGAUAAAAGGUACUCCGGGGAUAACAGGCUGAUACCGCCCAAGAGUUCAUAUCGACGGCGGUGUUUGGCACCUCGAUGUCGGCUCAUCACAUCCUGGGGCUGAAGUAGGUCCCAAGGGUAUGGCUGUUCGCCAUUUAAAGUGGUACGCGAGCUGGGUUUAGAACGUCGUGAGACAGUUCGGUCCCUAUCUGCCGUGGGCGCUGGAGAACUGAGGGGGGCUGCUCCUAGUACGAGAGGACCGGAGUGGACGCAUCACUGGUGUUCGGGUUGUCAUGCCAAUGGCACUGCCCGGUAGCUAAAUGCGGAAGAGAUAAGUGCUGAAAGCAUCUAAGCACGAAACUUGCCCCGAGAUGAGUUCUCCCUGACUCCUUGAGAGUCCUGAAGGAACGUUGAAGACGACGACGUUGAUAGGCCGGGUGUGUAAGCGCAGCGAUGCGUUGAGCUAACCGGUACUAAUGAACCGUGAGGCUUAACCUU